CAUGUCCUUUUGAUUAUAAUUUAAGGUCUGAUCUGCUCAAUGAGGAUUUAAAUUGCCGCGGUAUCUUGACCGUGCAAAGGUAGCAUAAUAAUUAGUUUUUUUAUUGAAAGCUGGAAUGAAUGAUUGGACGAGAAAAUUUCUGUCUCUGGUAAAUUUAUUUUUAAACUUUACUUUUAAGUUAAAAGGCUUAGAUGUUUUUUAAAGACGAGAAGACCCCAUAGAGUUUUACAUUCUUUUUUAUAAGCAGUUUUUGGUUAUUAAAUUUUUUUAUUAUUUUAGGAUGUUUGGUUGGGGUGACUUAAAGAUUUAAUUAACUCUUUAAAUAGUUAAUCAUUGAUUAGUGAAUAUGAAAUCUGAUUUUUUCAAAUUUAAAACAAAUUACCUUGGGGAUAACAGCGUAAUUUCUUUUUAGAGUUCUUAUUGAAAGGGAAGUUUGCGACCUCGAUGUUGGAUUAAAAUUAAUUUUUGGUGCAGAAGCUUGAAAAUUGGGUCUGUUCGACCUUUAAAAUUUUACAUGAUCUGAGU
rnacentral:rRNA from 1 species